GGAAUAUUGCACAAUGGGCGAAAGCCUGAUGCAGCAACGCCGCGUGCGGGAUGACGGCCUUCGGGUUGUAAACCGCUUUCAGCUCCGACGAAGCGCAAGUGACGGUAGGAGCAGAAGAAGGACCGGCCAACUACGUGCCAGCAGCCGCGGUGAUACGUAGGGUCCGAGCGUUGUCCGGAAUUAUUGGGCGUAAAGGGCUUGUAGGCGGUUUGUCGCGUCGGAAGUGAAAACUCAGGGCUUAACCCUGAGCCUGCUUCCGAUACGGGCAAACUAGAGGAAUGCAGGGGAGAAUGGAAUUCCUGGUGGAGCGGUGGAAUGCGCAGAUAUCAGGAGGAACACCAGUGGCGAAGGCGGUUCUCUGGGCAUUUCCUGACGCUGAGAAGCGAAAGCGUGGGGAGCAAACAGGAUUAGAUACCCUGG
rnacentral:rRNA from 1 species